AAUGUUCAUCUGUUUCCCAGAACUGCCUGUUGGGCUGUUGUUGAGCGGCUGGUAUCACCCUUCUCCCAUUAUCCCCCACGUUGUUCCACCUCCACUUCUGGGAGGAACCAGGCGGGACCACAGAGCAGAUUCCCUCAUCUCAUCCCACCAACUCUGUCAGUCCAGCAGGCCCCACAAUGCAGCCUCCACACCACUGCAGUAACAGCCAUAUCUUCCCAUCACAAAGCUUCAGUACUGUCUCAAUGUGUUGAAUUACCAUCCAGGAUCCUGUGGCAACGUCAAUGUGAAACAGCAUUGACCCGUGAUCACCACCAACCAGGGCUCCACAGUGGUAAUCUUCGAUGCCCAGGCUUCGCUCAAGAUCAACUAAAGGAGAUUUGGAAGGAUCC